CUUCCUCAGAGGAAGUACAGUGAGGUAGCCUGAGGCCAUUCUCUAAGCGGCCCUCACUCGCCUCUAGCCGUGAGUCUGUGUUGAGAAACCUGAGUGGGUUGCCACAAAUCCCGGCUUGUAAACACAGGAGCCGGCACUCGUCUGAAGGAAGUUUUAUAAAAAGAACAGACAAUUCAGUACCUGCUUCAUCUUGGAAUACCAUGCUAUCCAGAGGGGCGCUGUGCUUCGAAAUUCAGGAUAAAAAGACCCAGAAGAUCGUGGGGAAGGAUGUGAAGUGGUUCAUCUUCGGCAGUCUGGUUGAAGUUGAAGGUGGAGGGACUAGAGACAGAGUCAAGUGAACCACCCAAGCC
ensembl:lncRNA